ACAUCUAAGUACCCCGAGGAAAAGAAAUCAACCGAGAUUCCCCCAGUAGCGGCGAGCGAACGGGGAGCAGCCCAGAGCCUGAAUCAGUGUGUGUGUUAGUGGAAGCGUCUGGAAAGGCGUGCGAUACAGGGUGACAGCCCCGUACACAAAAAUGCACAUACUGUGAGCUCGAUGAGUAGGGCGGGACACGUGGUAUCCUGUCUGAAUAUGGGGGGACCAUCCUCCAAGGCUAAAUACUCCUGACUGACCGAUAGUGAACCAGUACCGUGAGGGAAAGGCGAAAAGAACCCCGGCGAGGGGAGUGAAAAAGAACCUGAAACCGUGUACGUACAAGCAGUGGGAGCACGCUUAGGCGUGUGACUGCGUACCUUUUGUAUAAUGGGUCAGCGACUUAUAUUCUGUAGCAAGGUUAACCGAAUAGGGGAGCCGAAGGGAAACCGAGUCUUAACUGGGCGUUAAGUUGCAGGGUAUAGACCCGAAACCCGGUGAUCUAGCCAUGGGCAGGUUGAAGGUUGGGUAACACUAACUGGAGGACCGAACCGACUAAUGUUGAAAAAUUAGCGGAUGACUUGUGGCUGGGGGUGAAAGGCCAAUCAAACCGGGAGAUAGCUGGUUCUCCCCGAAAGCUAUUUAGGUAGCGCCUCGUGAAUUCAUCUCCGGGGGUAGAGCACUGUUUCGGCAAGGGGGUCAUCCCGACUUACCAACCCGAUGCAAACUGCGAAUACCGGAGAAUGUUAUCACGGGAGACACACGGCGGGUGCUAACGUCCGUCGUGAAGAGGGAAACAACCCAGACCGCCAGCUAAGGUCCCAAAGUCAUGGUUAAGUGGGAAACGAUGUGGGAAGGCCCAGACAGCCAGGAUGUUGGCUUAGAAGCAGCCAUCAUUUAAAGAAAGCGUAAUAGCUCACUGGUCGAGUCGGCCUGCGCGGAAGAUGUAACGGGGCUAAACCAUGCACCGAAGCUGCGGCAGCGACGCUUAUGCGUUGUUGGGUAGGGGAGCGUUCUGUAAGCCUGUGAAGGUGUGCUGUGAGGUAUGCUGGAGGUAUCAGAAGUGCGAAUGCUGACAUAAGUAACGAUAAAGCGGGUGAAAAGCCCGCUCGCCGGAAGACCAAGGGUUCCUGUCCAACGUUAAUCGGGG
rnacentral:rRNA from 1 species